rnacentral:rRNA from 1 species
UGGGGAAUAUUGCACAAUGGGCGCAAGCCUGAUGCAGCCAUGCCGCGUGUGUGAAGAAGGCCUUCGGGUUGUAAAGCACUUUCAGCGAGGAGGAAGGUGGUGAGCUUAAUACGCUCAUCAAUUGACGUUACUCGCAGAAGAAGCACCGGCUAACUCCGUGCCAGCAGCCGCGGUAAUACGGAGGGUGCAAGCGUUAAUCGGAAUUACUGGGCGUAAAGCGCACGCAGGCGGUUUGUUAAGUCAGAUGUGAAAUCCCCGGGCUCAACCUGGGAACUGCAUUUGAAACUGGCAAGCUAGAGUCUCGUAGAGGGGGGUAGAAUUCCAGGUGUAGCGGUGAAAUGCGUAGAGAUCUGGAGGAAUACCGGUGGCGAAGGCGGCCCCCUGGACGAAGACUGACGCUCAGGUGCGAAAGCGUGGGGCAGCAAACAGGAUUAGAUACCCUGGUAGUCACGCUGUAAACGAUGUCGAUUUUGGAGGUUGUGCCCUUGAGGCGUGGCUUCCGGAGCUAACGCGUUAAAUCGACCGCCUGGGGAGUACGGCCGCAAGGUUAAAACUC